CCCUUAGAUGUUCUGGGCGGCCCGCGCACUACAAUGGCGUGUGCAGCGAGUGCCGAAGUAGAGUUUUCCGAGGUAUUCUUGCAAUGCUCGUUUUGAUGGGGAUAGACCCUUGCAACUGUUGGUUUUGAACGAGGAAUUCCUUGUAAGCAUGGUUUAUCAUCCGACGCUGAAUGCGUCCCUGCCCUUUGUACACACCGCCCGUCGCUCCUACCGAUGAGUCGUCCGGUGAAGUUCGUAGACCUCGUGAUCGCGGAUCACUGGGGGAAGCAAAAUGAACCUCGCGGUUUAGAGGAGGGAGAAGUCGUAACA
rnacentral:rRNA from 1 species